UUGGAGGGCAAGUCUGGUGCCAGCAGCCGCGGUAAUUCCAGCUCCAAUAGCGUAUAUUAAAGUUGUUGCAGUUAAAAAGCUCGUAGUUGAAUUUCGGGAUUCAUCCGUUGGUCGGGCUUCACGGUCCGUACUGGUGUGAUGGGUUCCUACCUUCUGAAUAACCGGCAUGCCAUUAAUUUGGUGCGCCGGGGAAGCAGAACUAUUACCUUGAAAAAAUUAGAGUGCUUAAAGCAGGCAAGUGCCUGAAUAGGUUAGCAUGGAAUAAUAAAAUAGGACGGCAUGGUUCUAUUUUGUUGGUUUCUAGGAUCACCGUAAUGAUUAAUAGGGAUAGUUGGGGGCAUUAGUAUUCAAUUGUCAGAGGUGAAAUUCUUGGAUUUAUUGAAGACUAACUUCUGCGAAAGCAUUUGCCAAGGAUGUUUUCAUUAAUCAAGAACGAAAGUUAGGGGAUCGAAGACGAUCAGAUACCGUCGUAGUCUUAACCAUAAACUAUGCCGACUAGGGAUCGGACGAUGUUAAUUUUUUAAUGACUCAUUCGGCGCCUUACGGGAAACCAAAGUGUUUGGGUUC
rnacentral:rRNA from 1 species